GGACCCGCACAAGUAGUGGAGCAUGUGGUUUAAUUCGAAGAUACGCGCAGAACCUUACCAACACUUGACAUGUUCGUCGCGACUUUAAGAGAUUAAAGUUUUCGGUUCGGCCGGACGAAACACAGGUGCUGCAUGGCUGUCGUCAGCUCGUGUCGUGAGAUGUUGGGUUAAGUCCCGCAACGAGCGCAACCCUCACUUUUAGUUGCCAUCAUUUAGUUGGGCACUCUGAAAGAACUGCCAGUGAUAAGCUGGAGGAAGGUGGGGAUGACGUCAAGUCCUCAUGGCCCUUACGUGUUGGGCUACACACGUGCUACAAUGGUAUCUACAACAGGAAGCAAGACGGCGACGUUAAGCAAAUCCUUAAAAGAUACCUCAGUUCGGAUUGCACUCUGCAACUCGAGUGCAUGAAGCUGGAAUUACUAGUAAUCGGAUAUC
rnacentral:rRNA from 1 species